CUUCUGGAGAAAUUCUACAACAGAUAAAUACACAAGGGGAAAUGUCAGCACACAUGCCCUACUUCUCAGAGAAAGGAAAAUGUUUUCAUAACCUGGACCAUCCUUACACGGAGGCUAAAAUAAAGUCACCAAGGAGACUCUCAGCUAUGUGAUCCCAGGCCACCACCAUGAGGGCAGAGUGUAUAGAGAAUGAGGGAAAAUCCAGAGAAGAAAUCACUGCUACUCAAGGGAAGAAUGAGACAGGAGGAUUAUAAGUACACACCUGUCUAGGACAAGACAAUGAAUUAAAGGCCAGCUUGGGUUGCAUGGUAAGAGGGUUGAGUGGGUCUGGGUUAUCAGUUGCCGUAAUUUUGGAGAAACCCGGAGUAAUGAAGCAAGAGGAGACGGGUGAAGCCGAGCCUGCGAUGAAGCACUGUCAGACUGCACCUGUGUGGAGUGGGUAAUGUUUCUAUAACAGGGACUGGAAGAAGCAGGGCCAGAAUGAAGAUAUCAACCUUAAAAGGCCAGCCCAGAAGUCACCUUCUGCCUAGUCUCCUGAGUACUGUUCUUUGCAUCUACCUAAGUUCAAUGGCUGGGCAAGAUUCCACAGAAUUACUGAUUCAACAGACAGUACAUUCAAAUUAUGCCUUUCCCAGGAACCAUAUUUACUGGCUCAUGUCUUAAUUUAGACUUGAAUCAUGCUUCACAGAUGGCUACCGUCGAGGCAACAAUUUCCAUGUAUAACAUUAGAGUUCAACAUACUAACAAAGUCAGGACUUUUCAAUAUUCACCCUAGAAAGAUAUAAGUCUAUCCCAUAUUCAUAUUCUUACAUAUGAAAACUAAUAUUCUUGUACACUUUUGAGAAAUACAUUAAUAGUUCUAAGCAUAAAAUUUUAAAUGUGAAGAAACUUAGGCAAUCUAUAAUGGACAGAAAUGCACUUUUUAGUUCAUGGGUAUUUUUGGAGCUUUUUUUCAAAUUCGAGAGACAUCAGCUUUCUUUCUUUCAGCUGGAGUGCGAACAGUUUUCACAUCUGUCAUUAGAAUGUUUUCAAACUUUCAUAGAUCAACAGAAGCUAAAGCAUCCUGAUGUCUGUGUUCAGGUCAGUGAGCACCAGCUCACCCUGGAAAGGGAAGCAGCUGUUUUUUGCUAAUUACAAAUUUAACUUAAAGUCAGUAGAUUCAUGAGCUGUGGUGAUUACAGAGACAAGAUUUUGGGAUGGGGCUGUGAUUUUCAGUAUCUUUUCCUGCAGUGGAACUGCUGAACUACAGUUAUGCCAUUUUGUGAAAGUUUUCCUAGGGCAAACUUUAAGUACUAACAUAAUCUUGGGUAAACUGGUCACUGGUCAUGUACAAGAGCCAUAACUUUUUAUAUAGUGUGUUCCUGACCUUAAGGUUGUGAGAGCAGCCUGUUUAACUGCUAUCUUUCUGCUUCUGGAAAGAGUGUUUGCUUCCUUCCUACAGAUGUCCAUGGCUGGCUUCCUGUAUACAUCACCAUCACACAAUUGCAAUUUUUGCCUUUAAAAGAUCAAGCAAGUUGGAGGUCAGGGCUGCUUCUGACUGCUUUGCAUGGGAUCGCUCCACUGCUAGAGAGUAAAAGCUCAAUGUAAUUUUAUUUAUUCAGUCCUCUUGGGUGGUCUAUUUUUUGGGUAUCCCAUAAUAUUAUUGCUUCAAGCAGUAGAAUACAGAUGAAUACAUUGGCAGCCUUGACGUCAUGGAGGAAAAAGGACAUUGAUGGUAGAAGCCAGCGGUACCACCUCCAGAGCACACAUGGUUGUCACCUUCUUGGACUCCCUGGGAAACUUCUGGAGCUAUUGCUUCAGAUCGUGCCUCUUCUCAAUGAUGUACAGACACACUUGUCCAGCAGAUGAGCAGAGCUUAACAAGGCAUCUGUUUCUUUUGGACUGGUGUGUGCAUCCUCUAAGAAUUUAUACACCUGAAUCCUACUGACCACCAUACUGAACUGGUGUGUGCAUCCUCUAAGAAUUUCUACACCUGAAUCCUACUGACCACCAUACUGGAAUUUGGAGGUGGGGAUUUGGAGAGGCGAUUAGAUCAGGAUGAACCAUGCUCCAUUGAUGUUGGUUACAGUCUUUCUGUAUGGAGUUGGUACAUUUACAAAAGAGACCCUGGAAAGGUCCCGUGUUCCCUUCUGUUCUGCAAGGACACAGCGAGAAGACAGCUGUGUUCAGAAUGUGCUGAAAUGAAAGACAUUUGAAUCAUUGUGGCAUUGAAUUUGCCAGAUCACAACAGAACGUCACCACAUAAGAUGUUUUUUUCAGCAUAAUAAAACAUGGAGGAUAGUACGGCAGGAAGGAGGUACACUGUUGAUUUGCCCAGCUAUCCAGAGCUAAACACAGGGAACAUGACCCAGAAAACUAAGUGACAUUUGCUGCUGAAAGAAAACCUGAACAUGAAGUCCCAAAGCCACCUAGAAACUUUGGGAAUAGUAGCAGCAUGAGGCUUUGAACUGCCUCAUGAAACGGAGGAUCAGAGACAGAGCAAAGCACUCAAAGUCACAAGAUUAAACAGAAUCGAACAGGAAAGGACACUGAAGUCUGGGGUUCCACCCCUCACAGUCAGCGCUCAUCUCCCGUUCCGGCAUCUAGCUAUGGAACAUCACGGAACAUCUACACCUGUGAAGUGUGAGCAUCAGCAAGAGUGAUGAAGCGAGACAGAGAAGAGAGAGACAUGACUUUGAUCUUAAAGGCCUUGCAGCGUGAGGGGAAGAGCAGAGAAGCAGAGGACUGAUGGCCACACGCUGUGGGAUGAGCUGUGGUGGACUAGAGUGGGGUUUGCACAGCGUUAACAAUCGGUUUUCUCACAAACCUCACAUUGCACACACCCUCAUGAAUACUGGGAAAAAUGUAAAAAUGGGAUUCUCCAAUGUCCACCUAGUAGGUCUAUGGCAUUAGGGCUGAGCAAUCUGCUUUAAGAGAGUACUCCAGGUGGUUCCUAAGUGCACUGAACAGCUGAGAGAAUAGUUGCUAUAGAUCCAUUGGUCACUCUUCAGUCUCCACACUCACCAGAAAUCCACAGCAGGCAGUGGCAGAUAGCACAGGCCCGUUGCAGAGGUAAUCCUGACUCAAAUGUAAAGCACUCAAUUUUUUGAUAAAGCUAUUAUUACAAAUUCCUGGCAACUCACUAUUUAGUAGACCAAUAAAUAAAAAAUUUUGUGAUCUAGGGGCUAAGCUUUGGAUUUCGGGGCAGAGCUCUGUGUCUGCCCAGCUGUGGUGCUUUGAGUACACUGUGUUUUCAAUUCCCCAUUUUUGAGACAGGGUGAUAAAAGCGCUACCACAUAGGACUGCUGAGAGAACCAAUACAGUUACACACGUAAUCCAAGAACCCUGAAAACCUUGUGAUCUGCUCCAACGGCCGUCAGUUCCCAUAUCCUUUCCAACAUAGUUUCUGGGGACAUUCUCUAAGGAGUGCAGAGCAAGGCCACUGCUUUACAGAGUACAAUGAGCAAGACAAUGGGUCCCUAUGUCAUCCACUGUGGUAAUUUGAAUGCAAUUGGUCCCAUAAUCUCAUAGGUAGUUGCUCUAGUAGGAGGUGCAGCUUUGUUGGAGUAGAUAUGGCCUUGUUGGAGGGUGUGUCACUGGGGGGGGGCAGGCUUUGUGGUUUCUUAUGCUCAGUGUCUCAGUUGACUUCCUGUUGCCUGCAAGAUGUAGGACUCUUAGCUGUUUUUUUAGCCCCACCUCUGCCUGCACGCCUCCAUGCUCCACAUCAUGGUGAAAGUGGACUGAACUUCUGAAACUGGAUGUGAGCCGCUCCAAUGAAAUGUUUCCUUUAUAAGAGUUGCUGUGAUCAUGGUGUCUCUUCACAGCAAUAAGACCCUCACUAAGACACCAGUGCUUGAAUAACCUGUGAUCUGACUUGGGCAGAGAGUCCGUAGGUGGAACCUGGGAAAGGAGAGGGUAAGUGGAAAAUCCAGUUAUGCCCCACCCAAAUGAGGAACUUACCCAGGUGCUGUCUGACACUGAUAAAGCUUUAUUGACACUGUAGACAGAGGAAGAGACUCUUAGUCAAAAGAUGUAGGCAACCUCUGGAGUCUGACAAAAGCGAGGGAAUGGUCUGCCAGAAGGAAAUAAAGUCCGACCAAUACAUGAAUAUUAGGUGGAUGGUUCCAUAUCAGAAUGAUGAAUAGUUUAGCUGCUAAGACAUUGUAGAGGCACUGAGUUUAUGGAAUUUUGUUUGAGCAGAAGUGGAAAACUAAUACACAUGUUCUUAGAGACAAAUGUCCCCCCUUUUAAUAAUAUACACAUCAGCAUUCAUCUGUAAGUGUUGUACUCAGAAUAUAAUCUCCCAUUUCAAUGGCAUAGCCUCUCAUCAGUGGAAUUAAGGAUUUGCCUUGACUCUAAGGAUUUGAAAGCUGUUAUUUAAUUUCAAUAAGUCUUCUGUCUAUAAAUAGUUUAAAAUAUGCCAACCUUAUACAUAAAAUACCAGAAUAAUUUUAUAAUACAACAUAUGAAGAUACACAAAACACUGUCAAUUAGGAAAACAAUUACCUUUUAAUUUAAUUGUAUUUCUGUUUUGAUAUUUUUAUGCAUAAGCAUCCUGUAUUUGCAUUAUUUCCACCUCUCUAUGCCUCUACUCCCUCUACCUACGUCAGUAUCCAAGGAUUUAUAACCUCUUUUUUUUGGAUUUUCUCUGGGGAGAUACAAUUGUGUAAAUUGAAUUUUAAAUAUUUCAACAAUAUCAGAGUAAUUUGUUUAAAAUAAACAUACAUCAAUAAAGA